UCAGUGAGGCACAAACAGCAGCAGGGACAGCAGUAGCAGCUACAGUAAGUUCUGGGGACAGCAUGAGGAUGAGCGGAGCAGGAACACCCAAGUAAGGGCCUAAAGAAGUCAUACAAAGAGCUGCUGAGUUCACUUGACUUGUUCAGCCUGGUGGAGAGAAGACCUCAUAGCUGCCUGCAGAUUCCUCACAAACAGAAGCGGAGGGGCUGGCACCAAUCUCUGCUCAGUUACAGAACCCAAGGGAACAGCAGGAAGCUGUAUCAGGGAAUGUUCAGGCAGGGUGUCGGGAAAUGGUUCUUCACCUGGAGGCUGGUUGGGUACUGGAACAGGUUCCCAGGGGAAGUGGUCACAGCACCAAGGCUGACAGAAUUCAAGAAGCAUUUGAACAUUCUCAGGCACAAUCCUUUGGAUAGGGCUGUGUGAUAUACACAAUGAUCCUGAAAAGUCCCUUCCAACUCAGGAGAUUCUGUGGUUCACUGAAGAGACCUGGAGGCAGCUCUCUUAAGCAGGGUGAUAUGUCAAGGGUGUUGCCACAGGCAACCACAGCAUAUUUCAGUGGCACAGGAAUCUUCUGUUGGUGAGGAUAGCAGUAACAGGGGUGGGUAACACUGGGGUGAACAGGAGAAGAAGCUGGGCAGGGAGACCAUGAAAGGACACCGGGCGGUCGAGGUCACAUGCAGGCCGCUGAUCUGGAGCAGCCUGUUGAUGAGGCCUUCUUGGUCUGGCUGCAGGGAACAUCAUCCUCACCACCUCUCAUCCUGAUGGGGGAGUCCAGCCAUCCAGACAUCAUCUGGGAGAGCAAUACAGCCAGCUGUAAGCAAUUCAGCACAUUCCUGGAGUGUGCAGAGGACAACUUCGUGGUCCAGGUCUGAAGAAAAAAUAAGAGAUGGUCUUAUUUCCUUAGCAACAAGAGUCAGGUGUGAUUUAUGCCACUGUGUGUUCCUGCAGCUGUCUCCAAGCAACAAAACAAACUGCAAAGCCAACUCAUGUAAGCACAGUGUGUGGAGGGGGUUGAGGGAAAAGUUUGGAGCAUAUAUACCUAUCCCUGGCAUCAAACAGGAGUUCUAGGAGCAAGUUGGUGCAAAAGAGUCAUGACUGAAUCUGAGAAGCCUGGGAAGAAGAUGGGUUUAAAGCAACCCAGACACAGCCACGAGGUCUGUAUGGAAAUUGUGGCCCACAAGUCUGGACAGCAGCAUCUGGGGACCCAAGCUCCCUCCAGCACCUCCAGAAUGGUGGAUGGCCACUCUAAGAUACACAUUCUCCACAUCCCUCCCUCUCCUCUCCUCUCCUCAAAGCUUGUGAAGCAGACUUAAGGUCCACCAGGCACCUCCCCUUCCCGUAAAUCCACAAAGCUAUGGUUUGUCAUCAGGGGAGAGGUCAAGAGAAGAGCACUGUUGUAUGUCCCCUCUCUUUGUUGGAUGAAAAAGGUCAGAUGGGAUGAUGGCAGACAAGCACUCCUCCUCGAAAAGUGACCCAGUGCACUCAGGAAAGAAACAGUACAGAGACUGUGCUUCUGAACCCUUCAAGGCAGCUCAACACUGGACUCUUUAUGUCCCAAAAUCUACACUUUUUGCCUUUCCUUCCUUUCCCAUUGUUGUAGACCUGAAAAAGCAUCUGUGAGAUGUCUGUUCUUGACAUUGCUGAGAUGAGUUUCCAGCUCUUGUAGUAGCAGUUAAGUGUGUAUCUGGCAGUUUGGAACAGGGCAGGGGGGAAGGUUUGGGAUUGGUUUGGUUUGGUUUUUUUCUUUUUCUUUAACUUCCAGUGAACUGUGCUCAGAUUUGCAAAUUUCUCUCAAUGACAUACACAUUCUUUCCUGAACAUUUUUCUCCAGUAUGUGUGACUUGAAAAAGUGCCUAAUGAAAUGAUCUUCUGUGCUUGCACCAUAAACACACGUUAGCCCUAGAGGUACCAAUUCCCAGCUGAUACACAAAACCCAUCUUCAAGCUCUUGCUUCUUUACUCACUGUCUAAAAGAGUCAUUUCUCAUUCCCUGAUGAAGCUUUAACCAGUAAAGGAUCGCAAUGGCUCCAUUUAAAAUUUCCCUGAACAGCAAUAAAACAUUAUUAAUCCCUGCUCCCUCUCUUGUCCCAGAUCAACUAACAGCCAUCAUAAACACAGCAAACUGGGCUAUUUGUCUGUGCUUCAGCUCAUGUAGGAAUAAUUUUCUGUUUGAUUCUUCAAUCAGAUCUGCAGUCUUUCCAUCAGCUGCCUCUUUUAUUCUCAGCCCACACAAGACAGAAAAAUUGUCAUCUUUUAAAAGCAAAUAUUGUACCUUCCCAGUUACAUUUUCAUUUAAAAAAUAAAUCAAUAGAGUUUGUAACUGAUAACCAGAUUGUGAUUGCUUUUAAGAUUAUUCUAUCUUUCCCAUGAGAUAAUCAGACAGCACAACAAAAUACAUCUAUUUAUUAUGAGGAAAACUCACAUAUUCAAUCAGCCUGUUUUAAAA